GUAUGCUUUAAAUCCGAAUUUAUUGGUCCUUAGAAGCAUGUUUCUAGGCUUUGUCACCCUUUGAAAUUAUGUUGUGGGCAAUUGUGAUGAAUAGAUUGAUAAAUUGACAACUUAUUGGUCUUGUUGCAUCUAGGAUUUAAGUGUGGUAACCAUUAGCUAGCUUAAUUGUAGCUAAGCUUGCUUGGGUCUCUAUUAUCUUGCACUCUAGGCCUCUAAUUUUAGAUAUUGCGGCCUUAACCGGCGUAAUGCCUAAAUUAGAGAGUUGAUUGUGGCCCUAACCGGCAUAAUCGAUACACCGAAAGGAUAAUUGGUUUAGUAGCCUUGACCGGUACUAAAUACGGGACUUAAC
rnacentral:lncRNA from 1 species